GGAAAAAGUGAUCCCAUAUGUACUGCUGACUUUUCACUGCUAAUUUGCCUUAUGUAGAAUCUAAUAUCCUGACCAGGGAUCAAACCUGGGUCUCUUGAAUUGGAAGCAUGGAGUCUGAGCCACUGGACCACCAGGGAAGUCUCUCUUCCUUAAAAUCUCAAGUUCCUCAGUGCAAUGCUAUAAUAAUUUAGAAAAAUAAAUCUGAAAGAUGGUGUUGAAGAGUAAUUAACAUUUAACUGGCUGUGAAUGCAAGCAUGAAACAACAUCCCAGGAGUGGCAGAUUAAAAAAAGACUUAAUGAAGAAGAGAAAAGUAAUGAUCAUCAAAACAAGAAAAGAGAACACUUUCUAGGCUUCAG
ensembl:lncRNA